rnacentral:tRNA from 1 species
CACGGUGGUCCAGCGGUUAGAACGCUGGCCUUGUAAUCCUGGGGUCUCGGGUUCGAUUCCCGGCGGUG